GUGUUAUUGAGUAUUUGUUGGAGCUCAGUUCUGACUGAGAGGCAAUAAAAACAGACUCAUCAAAGAGAACUGAGGAGCCAACUGGGAACAGUCAGAAACUCCUGAUUCAGCAUGUGACGGAAUUCCAGAUUCAGCUCAUGACCCACAGAGAGGAAAGAGCUUCUUGAUGGUGUAGCAGGAGUAUUUGGUGAUCAACGGUAUCAAAUACCAUAGAAAGAUCCAGCAGGAUGAGGAUGGAGGAGAUCAUCCACCAGAACAAGUGCUGUCUCUGUACCAUGCCCUGGCUUGAAGCCUGGCUGGGACGGAUCCAGGAUACUGGGAGCUGGUGUUUGCUUCUUACAGACCUCUCUGAUGGCAAGGACCUGUAACGGACUUUCACUAGAGAGAAACCCAGCAGAGUUCAGCUAUUUCUGGAGAAGACUUUAUGAUAGUUGCAUAAGUCUUGAAAGUUCUCAUCCUACUUAAGUCUUGGUAUCUGCACAAAUCAGGUGUUUCUUUAAUGGUGGAGAUAAAAACUAAUCACACUUGCCUGUCAGUUUGUUUGUCUUCUCAUUAGAAUAACAUUUAGACAAUAAAAAGGUAAAUGCUAGCAAUUUCUUCUGUACCCCGUGUUCUAGGAACAGAAUCCUCAGAAGCCAAAGGGGAAAAUAUGUGGACUAAAUCCAUAGUUUGCUGACUGAAAGUGGGGAAACUGGAAAAAAUAAGAAUUUAUUAGUGUCCAGGCAUUUUGAAUUGUUUGUCAACAGUUGUGGUUCAUUAAAAUGACAAGUUAGCACUCAGAAUAUUGAAUGCCCUGUCAUUCCACGUAGGCCUGUUUGUCUCUCACCAUGCUGAACUGGUGAAGAAGAAAUGCUGUCUCCAGAGGAACUGAAUUAGUGCUGGGAAUCAGCAGAUGAAGAAACGAUACAAUAGCCUGUAUUUGUAAAUAGCAGAUGAUGGAUACAAGGAAAUUAGUGAAGAGUGGCAAAGGGUUGAAUUGGAAGUGAAGACCAAACUACUUCUCACCUCCAUGAGAACUCCAUGGUCCCUUCAUCUCAGACUAGUGUACUUUGACAAGACAGUGUGGGAAAGCUUACAUUGCUUUUACCCGUUUUGAACUUGGUCUGUGUAUGAAGCGAACGAAUUUAGUUUCCUAUGAAUGGCUCACCUUUCAUAAGCAAUAAAUUCACACACACACAUAAUGUGAAAUGGAAAAAGUACUUACUUGAAAGAGCAUUUACUGGAUUUGGUCAGGAUAAUUGUCUUUCCGAUAUCAUUAAGAGAUGAAAUCUUUGUAUGUUAGAUUAUUAUUCUUAGUUUUCUGAAGAAGUUGAAUAUUACAGUUGUUCAAAAAUAAUGAAACAUCUAUGAAGGGACACAGAGAUCUACAAAACUGGUCAGUAAAUGGACUCCCUGUGGAGCUGGAAUUCUUAAUAGUCCUCCAAUAUCUGAUGAGGGGAGGCUCUUACAGGUUGAAUCCUGUACCUAAUCUAAGCUAAAUUGUCCUGCACUAACAGUUUUCCUGAAUUUUGAAAACAAAAUGAAGUGAAUACAAUGGAAGGAGAGAUGAGAGGAAAGAGGGAAGGGGGGAAAUGAAUGAGAAAAGGAACUGUAUUGCUAACAAGCUUCUGAAGUGAUUAUUGCUGGUUUUUGAGAAAUUCACUGUAGUAAAAUCAGAAAGUCUGAGGUAUUCUCCCACUUCUAAAACACCUUUCUGUAACAGAGCUUUGUAUUGCGGGAAUCAAGCAGGAAUGCAGCACUGUUUUGGGGUUUUUUUUUAAAGCAGAGUACUUGUGGUUAAAAGGCCUUAUCCAUAGCUCAGUUAAGUCAAUGUAAAGACUCCAAUUGACUUCAAUAGACUUUGGAUCAGACCCAAAGUGUAGGACUGGGAACUGGGAGAGUUUUGUUCUAUGCCCAGCUCUGCCACAGGCUUCCUGCAUAACCCCAAGCAAGACAUUUAAGUUCUGUGCGUCAGUUUCCCCAUCUUUAAAGGAUUUAUUGUACUUCCUAGAGGUAUUGUCAGGCUUGAUACUUUGUAAAACAUUUUGAUACCCUUAGGAAAAAAAAUAAUAAAGGAUUAGAGGAUGGUAAUGUAAUUAAUGCAAAUCAACAUGAGUUUAUGGAAAAUA